rnacentral:rRNA from 1 species
UAGCUAGUUGGUGGGGUAAGGGCCUACCAAGGCGACGAUCGGUAGCUGGUCUGAGAGGAUGACCAGCCACACUGGAACUGAGACACGGUCCAGACUCCUACGGGAGGCAGCAGUGGGGAAUAUUGGACAAUGGGGGCAACCCUGAUCCAGCAAUGCCGCGUGUGUGAAGAAGGCCUGAGGGUUGUAAAGCACUUUCAGUGGGGAGGAAGGUUGAUAGGUUAAGAGCUAAUUAACUGGACGUUACCCACAGAAGAAGCACCGGCUAACUCCGUGCCAGCAGCCGCGGUAAUACGGAGGGUGCGAGCGUUAAUCGGAAUUACUGGGCGUAAAGGGUGCGUAGGUGGUUGAUUAAGUUAUCUGUGAAAUUCCUGGGCUUAACCUGGGACGGUCAGAUAAUACUGGUUGACUCGAGUAUGGGAGAGGGUAGUGGAAUUUCCGGUGUAGCGGUGAAAUGCGUAGAGAUCGGAAGGAACACCAGUGGCGAAGGCGGCUACCUGGCCUAAUACUGACACUGAGGCACGAAAGCGUGGGGAGCAAACAGGAUUAGAUACCCUGGUAGUCCACGCUGUAAACGAUGUCAACUAGCUGUUGGUUAUAUGAAAAUAAUUAGUGGCGC